GUCCUCUUGUUUUAUUUUGGAGGUCAGACCUGCCCGGUGAUAAUUAUUUAACGGCCGCGGUACAUUGACCGUGCAAAGGUAGCAUAAUCAUUAGUCUUUUAAUAGAAGGCUGGAAUGAAAGGUUUAACGAAGCAAUAACUGUCUCAUUUUUAUGUUAUAUAAUUUAAUUUUUAAGUUAAAAGGCUUAAAUUUUGUUGGAGGACGAGAAGACCCUAUAGAUCUUUACAUUUAUUUAUUUAACUUAUUUUAGGUUUAUUUUUUAUGUUAAUAUAAUUAAAUGUUUUGUUGGGGUGACAAAAAUAUAUAAAAAACUUUUUUAUUUAAUUUACAUAUAUCUUUGAUUUUUAGAUCCUUUAUUAUUGAGUGUUAGAUUAAGUUACCUUAGGGAUAACAGCGUAAUCUUCCUUUUGAGUUCUAAUUUACAGGGAGGCUUGCGACCUCGAUGUUGGAUUAAGAUUAUUUUUGGGUGCAGUAGCUCAAUUAAUAGGUCUGUUCGACCUUUAAAAUCUUACAUGAUCUGAGUUCAGACCGG
rnacentral:rRNA from 1 species